AUUGAACGCUGGCGGCAUGCCUUACACAUGCAAAUCGAACGGUAACGGGCCUUCGGGUACCGACGAGUGGCGAACGGGUGAGUAAUACAUCGGAACGUGCCCGAUCGUGGGGGAUAACGAGGCGAAAGCUUUGCUAAUACCGCAUACGAUCUACGGAUGAAAGCAGGGGACCGCAAGGCCUUGCGCGGACGGAGCGGCCGAUGGCAGAUUAGGUAGUUGGUGGGAUAAAAGCUUACCAAGCCGACGAUCUGUAGCUGGUCUGAGAGGAUGAUCAGCCACACUGGGACUGAGACACGGCCCAGACUCCUACGGGAGGCAGCAGUGGGGAAUUUUGGACAAUGGGCGCAAGCCUGAUCCAGCCAUGCCGCGUGCAGGAUGAAGGCCUUCGGGUUGUAAACUGAUUUUGUACGGAACGAAAAGCCUUCUUUUAAUACAGGAGGGUCAUGACGGUACCGUAAGAAUAAGCACCGGCUAACUACGUG
rnacentral:rRNA from 1 species